rnacentral:rRNA from 1 species
AUACGUAGGGAGCGAGCGUUGUCCGGAAUUACUGGGUGUAAAGGGAGCGUAGGCGGGAGUGCAAGUCAGAUGUGAAAUACAUGGGCUCAACCCAUGGGCUGCAUUUGAAACUGCAUUUCUUGAGUGAAGUAGAGGUAAGCGGAAUUCCUGGUGUAGCGGUGAAAUGCGUAGAUAUCAUGAGGAACACCGGUGGCGAAGGCGGCUUACUGGGCUUUUACUGACGCUGAGGCUCGAAAGCGUGGGGAGCAAACAGGAUUAGAUGCCCUGGUAGUCCACGCUGUAAACGAUGAUUACUAGGUGUGGGGGGACUGACCCCUUCCGUGCCGCAGUUAACACAAUAAGUAAUCCACCUGGGGAGUACGGCCGCAAGGUUGAAACUCAAAUGAAUUGGCGGGU